UAAGAGCUCACCCAAGGCAACGAUCCAGUAGCUGGUCUGAGAGGACGAGCAGCCACACUGGGACUGGACACGGCCCAGACUUCCUACGGGAGGCAGCAGUGGGGAAUUUUCCGCAAUGGGCGAAAGCCUGACGGAGCAAGACCGCGUGAGGGAGGAAGGCUCUUGGGUUGUAAACCUCUUUUCUCAGGGAAGAAAACUGACGGUACCUGAGGAAUAAGCCUCGGCUAACUCCGUGCCAGCAGCCGCGGUAAUACGGAGGAGGCAAGCGUUAUCCGGAAUUAUUGGGCGUAAAGCGUCCGCAGGUGGCUACUCAAAUCUGCUGUCAAAGACUGGGGCUUAACUCCGGGCAGGCAGUGGAAACUGACAGGCUAGAGUGCAGGAGGGGUAGAGGGAAUUCCCGGUGUAGCGGUGAAAUGCGUAGAUAUCGGGAAGAACAUCGGUGGCGAAGGCGCUCUACUGGACUGCAACUGACACUCAGGGACGAAAGCUAGGGGAGCGAAUGGGAUUAGAUACCCCAGUAGUCCUAGCCGUAAACGAUGGAUACU
rnacentral:rRNA from 1 species